UAUCUUAUUUAAACAAGCGGCAUAAAAGUGCAGCUCCUAUCUUCUUGAAUGUGUAGAGACCGAAAUCUCCAAAACGGCUGGUUCAGCAAAUGCGCAUGCGCAUUCUCGAAUUCACUGGCGAGAUGGGUGAAAGGUGCCAUGCGUUGUUCUUGGCAGGCUAUUCAGCCUUACAGGCUCCUCGUGGAAAGGAACAGGGCGGGGAUGGGGUUAGGACGUCUGCUGCCUCCAAGGAACAAACUGCACCUUUGUACAACAAGCAGUUGACUGGCUGGCUAUGUCUGUAUCUAAAAGGUCUCUGUCCCUGUCGCCACCGCUGGAGGAACCACUGGAGCUGUACAGUGAGCAACACUAGGCUAUCCUGGUUAUAUCCUUCAUUCUCGAGAGGAAUUCUGAGAUGAACAGUAUUUCCUUCUUCUGGGCAUUCCUG